UAUGGGAGGCAGCAGUGGGGAAUAUUGCACAAUGGGCGAAAGCCUGAUGCAGCUAUGCCGCGUGUAUGAAGAAGGCCUUAGGGUUGUAAAGUACUUUCAUCGGGGAGGAAAAAACAAAACUAAUAAUUUUAUUUCUUGACGUUACCCGAAAAAGAAGCACCGGCUAACUCCGUGCCAGCAGCCGCGGUAAUACGGGAGGGUGCUAGCGUUAAUCAGAAUUACUGGGCGUAAAGAGCACGUAGGUGGUUUUUUUAAGUCAGAUGUGAAAUCCCUGGGCUUAACCUAGGAACUGCAUUUUGAAACUGAAAUACUAGAGUAUCGUAGAGGGAGGUAGAAUUCUAGGUGUAGCGGUGAAAUGCGUAGAUAUCUGGAGGAAUACCUGUGUCGAAAGCGGCCUCCUAAACGAAUACUGACACUGAGGUGCGAAAGCGUGGGGAGCAAACAGGGAUUAGAUACC
rnacentral:rRNA from 1 species